GAGGUUCAUCUACUACAGCCUUCUUGACAAGGUUUACAGAUAUUCACAGAGACGAGUAGAACAUGCUGAGGACAACAGACCCACAGAGCAAAUCAUACCAUCCACAUCGACUGUCAGAGUGAAGACAGUCUAACCCCAUUAGGCAAUCACUCCUGUCAGUUCAUCACAGCACUAUACGGGAAACGCCAACCCAUCCUGUCCCAGUUCAUGAGCUGGAAAGAUGAAAGUCUAAAGCACACACACCACCCUUACUGGGUUGGUGUGUGGAAAAGGUUCCCACCUGUGGAGAGAGCACUUUGUGGCUGAGAACAUUCUCCAUACUGACUGUCCUCUGCAGCCAACCUCGACUGGGAAUAGCCAUGCUGGCCUUCCUUU